GAAAUUAUAUUCUUCACGUUAUAAUAAAUGUGUUUAUAUAAUAUAGAUUCAAAGACCUUAGAGAUGUUGAACAGAAUUGUUACAGGUCUACAAUUUUCAAUCUUGUCUUUGUCUCCCGAUUUAAAUAUGGCACAUACUCUUCCAACUUUCCAACUUACAGGGUAGAUGGACGUAUCAAUUACUAAAUUAAAAAGUUUCCGAAGUGGAGUCACUAAUACAUUGGCACAAUCUUUCAAAAAAAAUGAAGAAAUUGUUCGUACACUAACACCUGCAAAAAUGUGAGAGUCUGAAGACUGACCCUGAUAACCACCUGAAGAUUGAACAUAAGACUUUGAAAAAUGACUAGAAAAAGCGUUCGCUAUUUCUUGUGGUGAAUCUAAGCGAUCCCUAUGGUGGGAUUUGCAUUAGCUCACCAUUAAAUUGAUGAAGAGCUUUACCGAUGUUUUCAAUAACUCACCAGGCGACAGCACCUCUCGGAGUUUUAGAAAGGAUAUUUUAAAGUGAUAAAAUUGGCGCCCAGACGCCCCCCUUAUAGGAGAUUAUUGAUGACAACCACUUCGCGUGUUUUUAUUAUAAGACAAUUAAAAUAGCUAUUUAUUAUACAAGUGUCUUAUAAGGCAAAUAAGUCGCGAAAGAAAUGUUUAGCCACGAGAGCUUGCUCGAGUGGCCUAAUUUUUCUUAAGCGACUUAUUUACUGUUAAGACACGAGUGUGAUACAUAGUUUUAUCCAACACCUCCUUCAGUAACAGUACUUAAAGCAUCAUGAAAAUCCCAAAAAUUCAAUAUCGUUAAAAGCUGGUAGCCUAUGAAUUAGUUACCGUGUGGUUGCCACGACAAAUUGUUUGUUUACGUCAAAUUGAGAAAAUUUUUGAAAAAGAAUACGGCUUCUGCACUCGUCAUAUUUAUCCAAAUGGAAAGAAAACGUGCUCUUCCGGAAAGUAUUGCGAAAGAUGUUGAAGAAGCCACAUCCAGUUUGUUACCGAAGAAAUCCAGAGACGCUUAUUACAAGGAAUUAAAUUACUUCAAUAACUGGAAGCAAGAAAAUAAUGUUUCUGGUGUAAGCGAAGACGUUGUGUUGGGUUACUUCUUAACGUCAGCAAAAGAGUUGCGGCCUCUUCAAUGUGGACAAAAUAUUCCAUGUUAAGAGCGACAUUAAAGCUUCACGAAAAUGCUGAUAUUUCGCAAUAUGGCAGAUUGAUCGCUUUUUUGAAGAACGAAUCUAAAAAUCACAAGCCAAAGAAAGCAAAAGUUCUUGAAAGAGAGCAUAUUCAACAGUUUCUAGUAGAGGCACCUAAUACAAAGUAUUUGAUGAUGAAGGUAAGUCGUGACUUAUGGGCCUUCUAAUGUGUUCAAAAUCGGCAAUUUUAUGACCUUAUAAUCAAGAGGUGUUGGAUAAAAAAAUUAAUUACUGUUUUUUGUUGCUGAUAACAGGAACGCACUUCCCAGGAGGGGCACUGAGUAUGGUCCAGGAAUUUUCCAAGCGUGAUAUAACAACCGUCGCUUCUCCCAAAGAACCGAAGUGAUGAUAAUAAUCACACAAAUAAUGAAAAUCCAGAUUAGCAUAGCAAAAGUAGUAAAUACACUACAGUUUUAAAAGUGAGACUCUUUUACCUACUAAACUGUAUGUAAUUUAAUUUAAUUUAAUGAAUCAAAGAUUCAAUGUUACUGGGCCAAAAAACUUGAUAUAAUUGGCAGUUUUAUGUGCGUCAUCAAUGCGAACCUGUUCCAACAGUGCGUCUUCAAGGAAUGUUGUACAACAUCGAAAUGGUUAUUAAUUAGAGUCCGAAUUCUAUGCAAGGCGCACAGAAUUUUUAUAUGUUUUUCUCAUAUUUCGCAACGACAAUAAUGCGAUGUAGGGAUACUUUCUGUACUUACCUGCAUUUCGACCAUUGUUUUAUAUCUUUAUAUUUUAAUUUUUUUAGCUAAGACACUGAAACUAGACCAAUUUUCUUUCACAAUUCGGCAACUAUUUGACACGUAAAUUUGACGUGAGGUGUUACAAAAAAUUGCUUUAAUAAAAGAUAACAAAGACAACAUUACCUAUGGGUUUUUCUAGUAUCUGUGUCGAUGAGGGGUGACUCAUCGACGCCCGAGCGGCCCGCGCAUAAAGACAAGUCUGGAGCCGGUUACCGGAAAUCUCGAAGUGGCAGUCGCGAUGGAUUCGAGAAAGACCUCGAUCGCAGAAGUUUGGAUUUAAAUAGAGGCGACCGUCGGGAACGGAUUGUUCAGCUAGUUGAAUCAAGAGCGUCCAGUGAAAUUUUUGUACAUAAUCGCUGUACCUAAUAGUUAGUCGUGUAAUUCGAGUUAUUAAGAAUACAUUGUUGAGUUUUA